rnacentral:piRNA from 1 species
UAGCCACGCCCAUAACUGUCUCCAACCGUC